GAUGAAGAACGCAGCGAAAUGCGAUACGUAAUGUGAAUUGCAGAAUUUAGUGAAUCAUCGAGUCUUUGAACGCACAUUGCGCCCCCUGGUAUUCCGGGGGGCAUGCCUGUCCGAGCGUCAUUGCUGCCCUCAAGCACGGCUUGUGUGUUGGGCCUCCGUCCUCCUCCCGGGGGACGGGCCCGAAAGGCAGCGGCGGCACCGCGUCCGGUCCUCGAGCGUAUGGGGCUUCGUCACCCGCUCUUGUAGGCCCGGCCGGCGCUUGCCGACACAUCAAUCUUUUUUCCAGGUUGACCUCGGAUCAGGUAGGGAUACCCGCUGAACUUAAGCAUAUCAAUAAGCGGAGGA
rnacentral:misc_RNA from 1 species